CUGCCUAGCAUUAAAGUAGCGUAGUAAUUUGUCCUUUUAUUGGGGACUUGAAUGAACGGCAACACGGGGAUUAGCUGUCUCUUUUGGUAAAAUAGAAUUUUAUUUCCAAGUGAAAAAUCUUGGGUUAUGCAGUAGGACGAGAAGACCCUAUAGAAUUUCAUAAAUUAGAUAGUUAAGCUAUCUUCUUUAUUUUGUUGGGGCAACAAAGGAACAAAUAAAAUCCUUAAUCAAAGUUUGUGGUGACAGUAAUGAAAGAUCCUAUAAUAGAAUUAAUAAAAAUUACCUUAGGGAUAACAGCGUAAUAUCUCCCAGAGAGACCUAAUUGAAGGGAGAGUUUGCGACCUCGAUGUUGGACUAAGAUAUCUUUUAAAUGCAGCAGUUUAAAGAGUAGGCCUGUCCGGCUUAUAAAAUCUU
rnacentral:rRNA from 1 species